rnacentral:rRNA from 1 species
UACGUAGGGUGCGAGCGUUGUCCGGAAUUAUUGGGCGUAAAGGGCUCGUAGGCGGCUUGUCGCGUCGGGAGUGAAAACACCGGGCUUAACUCGGUGCUUGCUUUCGAUACGGGCAGACUAGAGGUAUGCAGGGGAGAACGGAAUUCCUGGUGUAGCGGUGAAAUGCGCAGAUAUCAGGAGGAACACCGGUGGCGAAGGCGGUUCUCUGGGCAUGUCCUGACGCUGAGGAGCGAAAGUGUGGGGAGCGAACAGG